UACGUAGGGUGCGAGCGUUAUUCGGAAUUACUGGGCGUAAAGCGUGCGCAGGCGGUUCGUUGUGUCUGAUGUGAAAGCCCCGGGCUCAACCUGGGAAUGGCAUUGGAAACUGGCGAGCUAGAGUGUGGCAGAGGGGGGUGGAAUUCCGCGUGUAGCAGUGAAAUGCGUAGAGAUGCGGAGGAACACCGAUGGCGAAGGCAGCCCCCUGGGCUGACACUGACGCUCAGGCACGAAAGCGUGGGGAGCAAACAGG
rnacentral:rRNA from 1 species